rnacentral:rRNA from 1 species
AUUGAACGCUGGCGGAAUGCUUUACACAUGCAAGUCGAACGGCAGCACGGGGGCAACCCUGGUGGCGAGCGGCGAACGGGUGAGUAAUGUAUCGGAACGUACCCCGUCGUGGGGGAUAACUCUCCGAAAGGAGAGCUAAUACCGCAUACGACCUGAGGGUGAAAGCGGGGGACCUGCAAGGGCCUCGCGCGAUGGGAGCGGCCGAUAUCGGAUUAGCUAGUUGGUGAGGUAAAGGCUCACCAAGGCGACGAUCCGUAGCGGGUCUGAGAGGACGACCCGCCACACUGGAACUGAGACACGGUCCAGACUCCUACGGGAGGCAGCAGUGGGGAAUUUUGGACAAUGGGGGAAACCCUGAUCCAGCCAUUCCGCGUGAGUGAAGAAGGCCUUCGGGUUGUAAAGCUCUUUCAGCAGGAACGAAACGGUAGGCUUUAAUACAGUUUGCUAAUGACGGUACCUGCAGAAGAAGCACCGGCUAACUACGUGCCAGCAGCCGCGGUAAUACGUAGGGUGCGAGCGUUAAUCGGAAUUACUGGGCGUAAAGCGUGCGCAGGCGGCGACAUAAGACAGAUGUGAAAUCCCCGGGCUCAACCUGGGAACUGCGUUUGUGACUGUGUUGCUAGAGUGUAGCAGAGGGGGGUGGAAUUCCACGUGUAGCAGUGAAAUGCGUAGAGAUGUGGAGGAACACCGAUGGCGAAGGCAGCCCCCUGGGUUAACACUGACGCUCAUGCACGAAAGCGUGGGGAGCAAACAGGAUUAGAUACCCUGGUAGUCCACGCCCUAAACGAUGCCAACUAGGUGUUGGGGGAGGAGACUUCCUUAGUACCGUAGCUAACGCGUGAAGUUGGCCGCCUGGGGAGUACGGUCGCAAGAUUAAAACUCAAAGGAAUUGACGGGGACCCGCACAAGCGGUGGAUGAUGUGGAUUAAUUCGAUGCAACGCGAAAAACCUUACCUACCCUUGACAUGUCCGGAAUCCUGAAGAGAUUUGGGAGUGCUCGAAAGAGAACCGGAACACAGGUGCUGCAUGGCCGUCGUCAGCUCGUGUCGUGAGAUGUUGGGUUAAGUCCCGCAACGAGCGCAACCCUUAUCAUUAGUUGCUACGCAAGGGCACUCUAAUGAGACUGCCGGUGACAAACCGGAGGAAGGUGGGGAUGACGUCAGGUCAUCAUGGCCCUUAUGGGUAGGGCUACACACGUCAUACAAUGGCCGGUACAGAGGGCUGCCAACCCGCGAGGGGGAGCUAAUCUCAGAAAACCGGUCGUAGUCCGGAUCGCAGUCUGCAACUCGACUGCGUGAAGUCGGAAUCGCUAGUAAUCGCGGAUCAGCUUGCCGCGGUGAAUACGUUCCCGGGUCU